GGCGAACGCUGGCGGCGUGCUUAACACAUGCAAGUCGAACGAAGUGGCGAACGGGUGAGUAACGCGUAAUCAACCUGCCCUUCAGAGGGGGACAACAGUUGAAAACGACAGCUAAUACCGCAUACGGAUGGAGGGGUUUGCGGCUGAUUAGCUAGCUGGAGGGUUAACGGCCCACCAAGGCGAUGAUCAGUAGCCGGUCUGAGAGGAUGAACGGCCAAAUUGGGACUGAGACACGGCCCAGACUCCUACGGGAGGCAGCAGUGGGGAAUCUUCCGCAAUGGACGAAAGUCUGACGGAGCAACGCCGCGUGAGUGAUGACGGCCUUCGGGUUGUAAAGCUCUGUUAAUCGGGACGCGGUACCGGAAUAGAAAGCCACGGCUAACUACGUGCCAGCAGCCGCGGUAAUC
rnacentral:rRNA from 1 species